AGUAACGCGUGGGUAACCUGCCCUUAAGUCUGGGAUACCAUUUGGAAACAGAUGCUAAUACCGGAUAAAAGCUACUUUCGCAUGAAAGAAGUUUAAAAGGCGGCGUAAGCUGUCGCUAAAGGAUGGACCUGCGAUGCAUUAGCUAGUUGGUAGGGUAACGGCCUACCAAGGCGAUGAUGCAUAGCCGAGUUGAGAGACUGAUCGGCCACAUUGGGACUGAGACACGGCCCAAACUCCUACGGGAGGCAGCAGAC
rnacentral:rRNA from 1 species